rnacentral:rRNA from 1 species
AAACAUGAAUCCAUGCGUAUGUAAAUCUACAUAUUUUUAAGGUGAAAUUGUUAAGGUCUAUUAAUAUCAGUUUUUAUUAUUUCAGAUUUAUUUGUAUAUGUGUAGGAUUAGUAUUUAUUGAGUAAAUACAGGGGUGAUCUAUGUUGGGGAACCAGUGUGGAAGUUUUUUUUAGAUAUAAAGCCAUCAUUUUAUUGGGGGGGACUCAUAAUCGUUUGACUUUUUGUCAGUUUUAUUGUAGUAGAGAUGUUUUUCUCAAGUUUCUCCCCUAUCAGCUUUUUGGGGUAGAGUAUUGGACUACCAUGGCAGUGGCGGGUGGAGAAGAAUUUGGGUUUUAUUUCGGAGAGGGAGCCUGAGAGAUGUCUCCCACACACAAAGGAGGCAGCAGGCGCGUAUAUUCCCCACUCCCCCCGCGGGGAGGUAGUGACAAAAAAUCACAAUAGGAACCUUUGGGUUUUGUAAUUGGAAUGAGAACAAUGUACAAUCCUUAUCGAUAAACCAUUGGAGGGCAAGUCUGGUGCCAGCAGCCGCGGUAAUCCAGCUCCAAAGC